CACACACACACACAGUGGGGCUCGAAAGUUUGGGCACCCCUUGCAGAAUCUGUGAAAAUGUGAGUAAUUUUCAAAAAAUAAGAGAGAUCAUACUAAAUGCAUGUUAUUUUUUAUUUAGUACUGUCCUGAGUAAGAUAUUGUACAUAAAAGAUGUUAACAUUUAGUCCACCAUACCAAAAAAUUAUGCAUUAAGAGCUGGGGGUGAAAACUUUUGGAAUUUGAAGAUCAAGGUAAAUUGUACUUAAUUUGUGUACCGGGAAACAUACAAGUAUCUUCUG